rnacentral:rRNA from 1 species
GCCUACACAUGCAAGUCGAACGAAGCCUUCGGGCUUAGUGGCGCACGGGUGCGUAACGCGUGGGAAUCUGCCCUUAGGUACGGAAUAACUCAUGGAAACGUGUGCUAAUACCGUAUGAUGUCUUCGGACCAAAGAUUUAUCGCCUAGGGAUGGGCCCGCGUAGGAUUAGCUAGUUGGUGAGGUAAAGGCUCACCAAGGCUACGAUCCUUAGCUGGUCUGAGAGGAUGAUCAGCCACACUGGGACUGAGACACGGCCCAGGCUCCUACGGGAGGCAGCAGUGGGGAAUAUUGGACAAUGGGCGAAAGCCUGAUCCAGCAAUGCCGCGUGAGUGAAGAAGGCCUUCGGGUUGUAAAGCUCUUUUACCCGGGAAGAUAAUGACCGUACCGGGAGAAUAAGCCCCGGCUAACUCCGUGCCAGCAGCCGCGGUAAUACGGAGGGGGCUAGCGUUGUUCGGAAUCACUGGGCGUAAAGCGUACGUAGGCGGCCAUUCAAGUCAGAGGUGAAAGCCCAGGGCUCAACCCUGGAACUGCCUUUGAAACUAGGUGGCUGGAACACGGGAGAGGUGAGUGGAAUUCCGAGUGUAGAGGUGAAAUUCGUAGAUAUUCGGAAGAACACCAGUGGCGAAGGCGGCUCACUGGACCGUUGUUGACGCUGAGGUACGAAGGCGUGGGGAGCAAACAGGAUUAGAUACCCUGGUAGUCCACGCCGUAAACGAUGAUAACUAGCUGUUGGGGCUCUUGGAGCUCCAGUGGCGCAGCUAACGCAUUAAGUUAUCCGCCUGGGGAGUACGGCCGCAAGGUUAAAACUCAAAGGAAUUGACGGGGGCCUGCACAAGCGGUGGAGCAUGGUGGUUUAAUUCGAAGCAACGCGCAGA